AUUGAACGCUGGCGGCAGGCCUAACACAUGCAAGUCGAGCGGAAGGGGCUUCGGCCCCGAGAGCGGCGGACGGGUGGGGAUAGCGUGGGAAUCUGCCUGUAGAUGGGGGAUAGCCCGGAGAAAUCCGGAUUAAUACCGCAUAAUACCUGAGGGUUAAAGUGGAGGAUCGCAAGACUUCACGUCUACAGAUGAGCCCACGUCAGAUUAGCUAGUUGGUAGGGUAAAGGCCUACCAAGGCGACGAUCUGUAGCUGGCCUGAGAGGGUGGCCAGCCACACUGGAACUGAGACACGGUCCAGACUCCUACGGGAGGCAGCAGUGGGGAAUAUUGGACAAUGGGCGCAAGCCUGAUCCAGCCAUGCCGCGUGUGUGAAGAAGGCCUUCGGGUUGUAAAGCACUUUAAGUUGGGAGGAAGGUUCCAAGGCUAAUACCUUUGGGAAUUGACGUUACCGACAGAAUAAGCACCGGCUAAUUCCGUGCCAGCAGCCGCGGUAA
rnacentral:rRNA from 1 species